UACAGAGGUCUCAAGCGUUGUUCGGAUUUAUUGGGCGUAAAGGGUGCGUAGGCGGCGGAGUAAGUUGGGUGUGAAAUCCCGGGGCUCAACCUCGGAAUUGCAUUCAAUACUGCUUCGCUCGAGUACUGGAGAGGAGGCUGGAAUUUACGGUGUAGCAGUGAAAUGCGUAGAUAUCGUAAGGAAGGCCGGUGGCGAAAAGCGAGCCUCUGGACAGUUACUGACGCUGAUGCACGAAGGCCAGGGGGAGCAAACGGG
rnacentral:rRNA from 1 species